ensembl:lncRNA
AUGAUAAGCUCAAAACCAACCAUGACUUUAAAGUUCUGGCCACUAAAUGUGGUGACCAACCCCAAACACACCGCACCAAGUGGUUCCCUCAACAUUUUCGGCGCUUCCCGCCUCCCUCUUACCGCCAACAAUCCUUCAGGCGUCCCUCGGUAUCGAACAACCAGAACCGCCAACACCCUCGACGGGCGGCUCAGCCGCAGAGACAACGCGGCCGUACCACCCCCACCGCUGGUCAACCUCACCGGCGCUCCUGACGCCAUCUCUCCCUCCAGAGACUCUUUCUUCGGUACCGAUGCGGCUCUCACUCCUCUGCACCUCUCUCUUCCGCCAAAUCAACCUCAUGGUCUCUUUCUGGACCGCCUGGCUCCCUUCUUUCACCGUUGGAAAUCUAUUACUUCAGAUGCCUGGGUUCUCAAAAUUGUCCAAAAAGGCUAUGCCUUAGAAUUCGAAGGGCUCCCGCCCACGGGACAGGUUCUCCUCUCCAACCCUUCUCGAGAAAUUCUUGCAGAGGUCGACGCCCUCCUCGCCAAAGGGGCUAUUCGGCCCUCUCCAUCGGUACGGGACCCUCAAAGCUUCUUCUCCAGAUACUUCACGGUCCCGAAGAGAGGCGGGGGCCUCCGCCCCAUUCUGGACUUACGUAUUCUCAAUACCUUCAUACGUCCGACCAAGUUCAGGAUGGUGUCCAUCGCCUCCAUCCUCCCGAUGCUUCAACGCGGGGACUACUUUGUGUCUAUAGACCUACGAGACGCUUACUUCCACGUAGCGAUUCGAGAAGCCCACAGGCGCUUCCUAUGUUUCAAAGUUCUCGACCAAACCUACCAGUUCACCGUUUUACCCUUUGGCCUCGUUACGGCCCCAAGGGUCUUUACCAAAGUCGUCGCUGUCGUGGCUGCCCACCUCCGGCUCCAGGGGAUCACAGUCUUCCCUUAUCUAGACGACUGGCUUCUGGUCGAAUCCGACCCUGCCCUCCUCCGACGUCACGUCGACUACACCCUCUCUCUUCUAAAAUCUCUCGGUCUCCAGCUAAACCACGACAAAUCUCACCUCACCCCGUCGAACAAAAUUCGCUUCAUCGGUGCCCUGUUCGACUCAAUCGCUCGGACUGUCUCUCUCCCGUUCGACAGGUUUCUAGCCCUUCGCCAACAAAUCAUCUUCUGCGAGACCCACCGGAGGGUUCGGGCCCGAUCCAUCCAGGUACUGCUCGGCCACAUGGCCUCCACAGUCCUCACGACCCCGUUUGCCAGGCUCCAUCUCCGGACCCUGCAGAGGUGGUUUAUAGACGUUUUCAAGCCGUUUCGCCACCCCAACUCGAGGUUUCUCUCGGUCCCGCCCCACGUUUGUCGGUCGCUUCUCUGGUGGAAAUCCCUCUCCAACGUCUGCAGGGGUCUCCCGUUCCACCCGAUUCCCCCCUCCACCACCAUAACCACGGACUCAUCCAAUUUCGGCUGGGGAGCCCACAUGAACGGUCUCACUGUUCGAGGCCUCUGGUCUCCCUCCGAGAAGGCCAAUCACAUAACUUCUGGAACUCCUUGCUAUCUUCAAGGCUCUGAAAGCCUUCUCCCGCCUGAUCUCCCAAAGAUCUGUCCUCGUCCAAUCAGACAACACAGUAGCAGUCUUCUACAUCAACAAACAGGGCGGCACGGGUUCAAGGAAGCUGAUGCUCCUCUCCUCCCAGCUGUGGUAUUGGUGCAUAGCCCGCAACAUCCAAAUCUCGGCGAUUCACCUUCCCGGGAUCCAGAACAACUUGGCAGACGCCCUCAGCAGGAUGACGACCUCCUCCCACGAGUGGAUGCUCGACCCCGAGACUCUUCUUUCUCUUUUUCGCAAAUGGGGCUUCCCCACUCUAGACCUUUUCGCUUCUCCCCAGAAUGCUCAGCUGCCUCGAUACGGGGCAAGACUUCCCCCGUCCUCCUCUCCAGGCUGCCUGGGAGACGCCUUCCUUCUGGACUGGUCGGCGGAACCGAUCUACCUCUUUCCGCCUUUUCCUCUCAUACCAAAGGUCCUACAGAAACUCCGGUCGGUACCGACGUCGGCGAUCCUGAUAGCUCCAGCCUGGCCUCGUCAACCUUGGUUCCCGGCUCUUCUUCAUCUCUCCAGAGUGACCUUCUUCACUCUGCCCCUUCUACCUCAUCUCUUGUCCAGGGAGAACGGCCAGAUCCUGCACCCGGAUCUCCCCUCUCUACAUCUCACUGCUUGGAGGAUUCUCGCCUGACCUCCCUCCCGCAGAACCUACAGGAGGUCCUCCGCGCAGCUCACAAGCCGGCUACAACCAGGGCCUACACUUAUAAAGUCUCUCGCUUUCGUUCCUUUCUUCGCUCCCGGGGAAUUACUGCCUUCCCAACCUCGGUACCGAUUGUGCUGGACUUCCUUAUGUCUCUGGCAGACCAAAAACUUUCUCUUGCUUCUAUGAAAUCUUACUUGGCCGCUCUAUCCUGGUGUUUUCAACAACAUGGUAGACCAUCGUUGUUCUCCGAUCACCUUGUCAAAACCUUCUUGAAAGGGUACAACAACAUCUGCCCACCGUCUCAACCUCCUACUCCGGGGUGGAACCUCGAGCUCGUGCUUUCCCAGCUCACUGCCUCGCCUUUUGAACCAUUGGCUUCGACCGACCUACGUCUCCUUUCUUGGAAAGUUGCCUUCCUGGUGGCCAUAACCUCAGCGCGCAGACCCUCGGAGCUGGCGGCCCUUCGGGUUGAUGAACCUUACCUCCGUUUUCAUCAUGACCGCGCCGUUCUCCGUCCGGACAUCACCUUCCUUCCCAAGGUGGUCUCGGCCUUUCACCUUAACCAGGACAUUGUCCUUCCCGCCUUCUUCCCGGACCCCUCGUCUCCCCUUGAGCGGAGACUGCACCUCCUUGAUGUGCGUAGAGCACUUCUUUUCUACCGGGACCGUACUAAGGACAUUCGAAAGACCCCAAAACUUUUUGUGGCCCAUGCUCCAGAUAAACUGGGCAAUCCUAUUUCUUCGCAAAGACUGUCCCAUUGGAUCGCUCAGGCCAUUGAACUGGCCUAUGAACUAGCCAAACGACCUCCCCCUCCGUCGGUUCGCCCGCGUUCGACGAGAGGUCUCUCCACGUCGACUGCCUUCCUAAGGGGCAUCCCCCUGGACUCCAUUUGCAGGGCAGCGAUCUGGUCCAACCCCCUUACAUUUGUGUCUCACUAUAGGGUAGACCAAAAAACUUUAAAGGAUUCAGCCUUUGCUAGGGCAGUUUUAUCUUCAUGCUUGUCCUAA